ACUCCUACGGGAGGCAGCAGUGAGGAAUAUUGCACAAUGGGGGCAACCCUGAUGCAGCGACGCCGCGUGGAUGAUGAAGGCCUUCGGGUUGUAAAGUCCUUUUGCCACUGACGAGAACGGACGGUAGGUGGCGAAUAAGCCCCGGCUAACUACGUGCCAGCAGCCGCGGUAAAACGUAGGGGGCGAGCGUUAUCCGGAGUUACUGGGCGUAAAGGGUGUGUAGGCGGUGGCAUAAGUGGGGUGUGAAACACUCAGGCUAAACCUGGGAGGUGCGCCUCAGACUGUGCGACUAGAGUGGGAUAGAGGGGCGUGGAAUUCCGGGUGGAGCGGUGAAAUGUGUAGAGAUCCGGAGGAACACCAGAGGCGCAAGCGGCGCCCUGGGUCCCAACUGACGCUGAAACACGAAAGCUUGGGGAGCGAACGGGAUUAGAGACCCCGGUAGUCCAAGCCGUAAACGAUGCAGACUCGGUGUCCACCUUCGCAAGAGGGGGGGCGCCACAGCUAACGCGAUAAGUCUGCCGCCUGGGGAGUACGGUCGCAAGACUAAAACUCAAAGGAAUUGACGGGGGCCCGCACAAGCAGCGGAGCGUGUGGUUUAAUUCGAGGCUACACGAAGAACCUUACCCAGGUUUGACAUAGGUGUGGUAGCGAAGCGAAAGCUAAGCGA
rnacentral:rRNA from 1 species